rnacentral:snRNA from 1 species
AUCACUUCUCAGCCUUUUGGCUAAGAUCAAGUGUAGAAUAUUUUCUCUUCUUGUAGAGUCUACUAGAUUUAAAAUACUCUCAAAACAAAACUAUAU